rnacentral:siRNA from 1 species
CGGUCGCUGGUCGCUGGCGAUUG